rnacentral:rRNA from 1 species
CGGUUAAGUUAGAAAGGGCGCACGGUGGAUGCCUUGGCACUAGGAGCCGAUGAAGGACGGGACGAACACCGAUAUGCUUCGGGGAGCUGUAAGCAAGCUUUGAUCCGGAGAUUUCCGAAUGGGGAAACCCACCACUCGUAAUGGAGUGGUAUCCAUAUCUGAAUACAUAGGAUAUGAGAAGGCAGACCCGGGGAACUGAAACAUCUAAGUACCCGGAGGAAGAGAAAGCAAAUGCGAUUCCCUGAGUAGCGGCGAGCGAAACGGGACCAGCCCAAACCAAGAGGCUUGCCUCUUGGGGUUGUAGGACACUCUGUACGGAGUUACAAAGGAACGAGGUAGAUGAAGAGGUCUGGAAAGGCCCGCCAUAGAAGGUAACAGCCCUGUAGUCAAAACUUCGUUCUCUCCUGAGUGGAUCCUGAGUACGGCGGAACACGUGAAAUUCCGUCGGAAUCCGGGAGGACCAUCUCCCAAGGCUAAAUACUCCCUAGUGACCGAUAGUGAACCAGUACCGUGAGGGAAAGGUGAAAAGCACCCCGGAAGGGGAGUGAAAGAGAUCCUGAAACCGUGUGCCUACAAGUAGUCAGAGCCCGUUAACGGGUGAUGGCGUGCCUUUUGUAGAAUGAACCGGCGAGUUACGAUCCCGUGCAAGGUUAAGCAGAAGAUGCGGAGCCGCAGCGAAAGCGAGUCUGAAUAGGGCGAAUUGAGUACGUGGUCGUAGACCCGAAACCAGGUGAUCUACCCAUGUCCAGGGUGAAGUUCAGGUAACACUGAAUGGAGGCCCGAACCCACGCACGUUGAAAAGUGCGGGGAUGAGGUGUGGGUAGGGGUGAAAUGCCAAUCGAACCUGGAGAUAGCUGGUUCUCUCCGAAAUAGCUUUAGGGCUAGCCUCAAGGUAAGAGUCUCGGAGGUAGAGCACUGAUUGGACUAGGGGCCCCUACCGGGUUACCGAAUUCAGUCAAACUCCGAAUGCCGAUGACUUAUCCUUGGGAGUCAGACUGCGAGUGAUAAGAUCCGUAGUCGAAAGGGAAACAGCCCAGACCGCCAGCUAAGGUCCCAAAGUAUACGUUAAGUGGAAAAGGAUGUGGAGUUGCUUAGACAACCAGGAUGUUGGCUUAGAAGCAGCCACCAUUUAAAGAGUGCGUAAUAGCUCACUGGUCGAGUGACUCUGCGCCGAAAAUGUACCGGGCUAAACGUAUCACCGAAGCUGCGGACUGUUCUUCGAACAGUGGUAGGAGAGCGUUCUAAGGGCUGUGAAGCAAGACCGGAAGGACUUGUGGAGCGCUUAGAAGUGAGAAUGCCGGUAUGAGUAGCGAAAGAGGGGUGAGAAUCCCCUCCACCGAAUGCCUAAGGUUUCCUGAGGAAGGCUCGUCCGCUCAGGGUUAGUCGGGACCUAAGCCGAGGCCGAAAGGCGUAGGCGAUGGAUAACAGGUUGAUAUUCCUGUACCACCUCCUCACCAUUUGAGCAAUGGGGGGACGCAGGAGGAUAGGGUAAGCGCGGUAUUGGAUAUCCGCGUCCAAGCAGUUAGGCUGGGAAAUAGGCAAAUCCGUUUCCCGUGAAGGCUGAGCUGUGAUGGCGAGCGAAUUAUAGUAGCGAAGUUCCUGAUUCCACACUGCCAAGAAAAGCCUCUAGCGAGGUGAGAGGUGCCCGUACCGCAAACCGACACAGGUAGGCGAGGAGAGAAUCCUAAGGUGAUCGAGAGAACUCUCGUUAAGGAACUCGGCAAAAUGACCCCGUAACUUCGGGAGAAGGGGUGCUCUGUUAGGGUGCAAGCCCGAGAGAGCCGCAGUGAAUAGGCCCAGGCGACUGUUUAGCAAAAACACAGGUCUCUGCGAAGCCGUAAGGCGAAGUAUAGGGGCUGACGCCUGCCCGGUGCUGGAAGGUUAAGAGGAGCGCUUAGCGUAAGCGAAGGUGCGAAUUGAAGCCCCAGUAAACGGCGGCCGUAACUAUAACGGUCCUAAGGUAGCGAAAUUCCUUGUCGGGUAAGUUCCGACCCGCACGAAAGGCGCAACGAUCUGGGCACUGUCUCAACGAGAGACUCGGUGAAAUUAUAGUACCUGUGAAGAUGCAGGUUACCCGCGACAGGACGGAAAGACCCCGUGGAGCUUUACUGCAGCCUGAUAUUGAAUGUUGGUACAGCUUGUACAGGAUAGGUAGGAGCCUUGGAAACCGGAGCGCCAGCUUCGGUGGAGGCAUCGGUGGGAUACUACCCUGGCUGUAUUGACCUUCUAACCCGCCGCCCUUAUCGGGCGGGGAGACAGUGUCAGGUGGGCAGUUUGACUGGGGCGGUCGCCUCCUAAAAGGUAACGGAGGCGCCCAAAGGUUCCUCAGAAUGGUUGGAAAUCAUUCGCAGAGUGUAAAGGCACAAGGGAGCUUGACUGCGAGACCUACAAGUCGAGCAGGGACGAAAGUCGGGCUUAGUGAUCCGGUGGUUCCGCAUGGAAGGGCCAUCGCUCAACGGAUAAAAGCUACCCCGGGGAUAACAGGCUUAUCUCCCCCAAGAGUCCACAUCGACGGGGAGGUUUGGCACCUCGAUGUCGGCUCAUCGCAUCCUGGGGCUGUAGUCGGUCCCAAGGGUUGGGCUGUUCGCCCAUUAAAGCGGUACGCGAGCUGGGUUCAGAACGUCGUGAGACAGUUCGGUCCCUAUCCGUCGCGGGCGCAGGAAAUUUGAGAGGAGCUGUCCUUAGUACGAGAGGACCGGGAUGGACGCACCGCUGGUGUACCAGUUGUUCUGCCAAGGGCAUCGCUGGGUAGCUAUGUGCGGACGGGAUAAGUGCUGAAAGCAUCUAAGCAUGAAGCCCCCCUCAAGAUGAGAUUUCCCAUUCCGCAAGGAAGUAAGAUCCCUGAAAGAUGAUCAGGUUGAUAGGUCUGAGGUGGAAGUGUGGCGACACAUGGAGCUGACAGAUACUAAUCGAUCGAGGACUUAACCAAUUU